rfam:Solenopsis invicta Si_gnG.contig45090, whole genome shotgun sequence.
CAAACGGCCCUUUUCAGGGCUACCAUAACACUCUAAACAAGGAACU